rnacentral:rRNA from 1 species
GUCGAGCGAACAGACGAGGAGCUUGCUCCUCUAACGUUAGCGGCGGACGGGUGAGUAACACGUGGAUAACCUACCUAUAAGACUGGGAUAACUUCGGGAAACCGGAGCUAAUACCGGAUAAUAUAUUGAACCGCAUGGUUCAAUAGUGAAAGACGGUUUUGCUGUCACUUAUAGAUGGAUCCGCGCCGCAUUAGCUAGUUGGUAAGGUAACGGCUUACCAAGGCAACGAUGCGUAGCCGACCUGAGAGGGUGAUCGGCCACACUGGAACUGAGACACGGUCCAGACUCCUACGGGAGGCAGCAGUAGGGAAUCUUCCGCAAUGGGCGAAAGCCUGACGGAGCAACGCCGCGUGAGUGAUGAAGGUCUUCGGAUCGUAAAACUCUGUUAUUAGGGAAGAACAAAUGUGUAAGUAACUAUGCACGUCUUGACGGUACCUAAUCAGAAAGCCACGGCUAACUACGUGCCAGCAGCCGCGGUAAUACGUAGGUGGCAAGCGUUAUCCGGAAUUAUUGGGCGUAAAGCGCGCGUAGGCGGUUUUUUAAGUCUGAUGUGAAAGCCCACGGCUCAACCGUGGAGGGUCAUUGGAAACUGGAAAACUUGAGUGCAGAAGAGGAAAGUGGAAUUCCAUGUGUAGCGGUGAAAUGCGCAGAGAUAUGGAGGAACACCAGUGGCGAGGGCGACUUUCUGGUCUGUAACUGACGCUGAUGUGCGAA